CUCCGAAGGGGGCUAGCGUUGUUCGGAAUUACUGGGCGUAAAGCGCGCGUAGGCGGACUGAUCAGUUGGGGGUGAAAUCCCAGGGCUUAACCCUGGAACUGCCUCCAAUACUGUCAGUCUUGAGUUCGGGAGAGGUGAGUGGAAUUCCUAGUGUAGAGGUGAAAUUCGUAGAUAUUAGGAAGAACACCAGUGGCGAAGGCGGCUCACUGGCCCGAUACUGACGCUGAGGCGCGACAGCGUGGGGAGCAAACAGGAUUAGAAACCCCAGUAGUCC
rnacentral:rRNA from 1 species